UGGAGGUCUGAGAAAGUUGAGCAGCUUGUGUGGUGCUGUUCUUAACUGGUUACAACCUCCGAUAUUAACAAUCAAACCACUCGUGAAAAUAGCUCGGCCAUGUGCUGAGCUUAAUUUGUGUGUUUGCGAACAAGUG